GAAAGCAUUGAGGAGUGCUCUCGGCAGUGGCUCCCAGCCAUCGGACCUACAAUUAAUGGGGACAGGGACGGUCACUUUCCAGGACCUUGAGUGGGCCAUGUCGGAGGUCAAACCAGGUGCCAUGAGGCAGGUCGCCAUCGAUGUCCCCAAGCUGUAGAGAGAAAUCGACACUGGGCAAACUGCAUCUACAACUUCCUUGCCCCACGGUAAGGAUGUUAUUUUUGAAUUGAAAAACGUUGAUCAUGGAAAAGGUGUUAGUUUUCUUGAAUCGGUUUCUAAAGAAGCUUUCAUAACACUGCUGGACACCAUGCUCCGUUAAAACUGCCACCCUAUACAGCCAAUUGGGGACCUCUCUUUCCAUUGUGUAUGAAACCUCUGUAUUCUUCUCUGUUUCCAGCUGUGUCCGAAUGUUUUGUCUGUUUCCCUUGCAGGUGCGCUGGUCGGAUGUGGGAGGCAUGGAGCAGGUGAAGCCGAAACUUAAGCAGGCGGUGGAGUGGCCUCUCAGGCACCACGAGGCCUUCACCUGCAUGGGCAUCCAGACCCCAAAAGGAGUACUACUCUAUGGACCCCAGGCUGCUUCAUGAUCACCAAAGUUCUGGCCAACGAGAACGGCCACAACUUCCUUGCCUUUAAGGUGAUGAUCAUUCAAAGUUUGAUUGUUGCCUGUUAUCUCCACCAGGUGGCCAAUGUACAGGCAGGGAAGAGUCCUUUUUAGUCUUUUCUACACCUACAGGGUUCCCUAAAUCCCACCCCUAUAAUGCAUACUUUUGUAAUGGAUCAGUUUUGCAGUUGCAUUGUGUGCAUUGCCUUCAAGCACAGUUUCUUUUGUUAUGGCUGACAUGGCAUGGACCUUUUGACGUUUCCACAACUAGGGAGAUUCUACAACUAUAGAUAGUAAAACUAGUACGGCUUCUUUCCUUUUUCCAAAACAUACUGUACUUAGCUAUGGCCAGUGAUUUACCACCAGCAGCCAUUGUCUUGGCUUCACCCCUGUUAAAAAACAGGGAUGUGCCCCUGAUUAUCUCAAGGACCUCAGAAUCUUUGGCUUCCUUGGAGGCAGACCUACAGGCCUUCUCACUUGACCCCUCCGACCCCAUGUUUGUCCUUUUCAUUCAUCACCCCACCCCGUCGUCUCCCUUCUCUCUCUCCACCCCAAUUCACAACUAUCCCCUACACCCCUCGCCCUGCUCUGUCCAGGCCCCUUGAUGGAGAUUGAUUGAUCACUUCACUGAUUGUUAAUUGCCGAUUCUUUUGGAAGUGGUUGCCGGGUAAGAUGGGGCAGAAACUGUCAGCCAGCCUGAUUUAGAUUGGGUCAGUGGUAAAAGAUAGUGGAUAGGCUGUAAUAUAACGAAGAAAGACUUACCUCUUAAAGAGUGCUUACAGUGUAAAAUUCUCUGAAAGGUUUUUCUCAUAGAUGCUAUUUGUGAAUAACGUCCAACCCAAAUUGUUCGUAAUUAUGUUACACUUGAUGUUUAAGCAAAAUAAAAUAGUAAGAAGUUGGCUAAUACUUUUUCAAUGACAAAAUCAUAUUAUUUUUCCCCAGUGUGUUAGCUUUGCCUCCGACACAUUACCCUUGCUUCACUAUACUUUUAGAUGCAUACUACUUGCGUCGUGUACAGUAAAACUCUAACACUCUAUCAAAAUAUUUUUACACGCCAAUAUGACUGUUACUCUAGCAGGGUAGAAAUGUACCUAUAUAGAAUAUAACCCUCCCAGUGAGUAGCUGGUUAGAGAAAUCAACAGAUUAAUGAGUCAGUCUCCACAACGUUGUCGUGUUCUGAGGAGACAAAAGGUGUCAUCUCCCUGCCAGCCCAGAGGUGUUGAAGAGGGGGGAUUGCAGGGGAGGAAGUGCGUCCUGACGGGCUGAGUGGAUGUUUAUCCGCCUCGGAGGGAGGGAGAGUGCAGAGUGGCCCCAUCAACCUUACUUACCCUACCUCCUUUGUCCUCUCUGCCUUCCUUCUUAAUGAUCAUUUUUCCCUCUCUUCCCCUCUUCCUCUUAAAUAACUAUCCCUUUCAUCUCUGAGAGAUUUCUUGGCGGGUUGUCAAAAAGUUCUCAGUGGUUUGUUCAUUGAGGUGUGUUCCUGUCCGAUAUUAAAUAGUGGUCUAGUUAGCUUGUGGUUAGCUAGGUUAAAUGUAAUUGAGCGUGUAUUACCAGUGUUAUAAUGAUGUGAAUGAAUAGUUAUAGCCUACUGUAUAACUAGGGUCCUCGUACGGAAAUCUCCUGGUCCUAUAAUGAAUCACUGGACAGGAGAACCAACUUCCCUCACGGUCUUUCAGGGUCCAGAGUCACUGAGUAAAUAUGUAAUGGAGUCUGAGAGGGCUGUCAGAGAGGUGAGUACCAGGCCAACUUUCAUUGUCUAUCAUAUACCCAUUACACUAGGAGCAUAAGUACUACUUCUGCUGAGAGGAAAUUGCUUUAAUAUGCUACAUUCUAAUGUAUAUGCAAUUACUGUAUAUUAAUACCUCGCAUAUGUCGAUACCAGGUCAGAGCUGUCACCCCCUCCAUUGUGUUCUUUGAUGAAGUUGUCGCUCUUACUGGAGAUCGAGGAAGGUAAAUAUUUUGUCUCAGAAAUGAAGUUCAAAACUUUUUCUACCUGAUAAACAUAAUACUGCAGACUUGAUGACCACGACACGGCAACUGCUUGCAAGCACACAUCUUAUUCUGAAAACUGGAAGCACGUAUCAAGCCUCAAUGAAUGGGAAAGAUAGGCACCAUUUUUAAUCAUCAGCCUAGUUCAAUACGCUGAAUGGCAUGUAUUAUCCCCAAUUACUUGUUGAAUGACUGAACGUCUAUAUUACCACAAUAAUUACAUUAUCAGUGUAAUUAUUGUACAGUGUAAAGCCGGCUGUGGAGUUCCCAUGGAGUCAGUCCAUGCUUUGCUAUCAACGCACGCACACAUACACUGACACACAGACGAGCCAGUCUGUCCGGAGGCGCUUCAAUGGGAUGACACUGGGAACAUCUGUGGCUUCAGGAAGAAGACACAACGGCCAGAGAGAGGACACAGGCCGCGACAAACAAGCCCUUCAUUGUGUACGCCACAGCAGAUGGGGGAAGCCAAAUAUGAGGCGUACUUCCCGGUAAACCCCCAUGAAAGUCAAUGGUGACAAAAGACCCCUCCAGAUAUGGUACAAACAUGGCGUUCCCUCAAGCUAAUUGGCCAGGGCCUGGGAUGGGUCACAGUGUCCUUUCUUAACAAAACCAUUUUGCCAUUAGUGCAUGUAGGGUGACAUGUUGUAUCUGUUUACUAGGACUGGGAAUUGCCAGGGACCUCACGAUGCGAGAUUAUCACAAUACUAAGGUGCCGAUAUGUAUUGUGUUUCUCACGAUUCUAUAUGUAUUGCGAUUUGAGACAGCGAUUUUAUUCUGAGUUGAUGUUCCAAACAUAUUGCUUACUGUAUGUCUGCUGCAGACAGACGAGACAGCAUGAGAGGCUACAUAUCAGAGUUGGGGGUCAACUUAAGUCAACUCAGGAAUGGACUGGAUGUAGUGUUCGACCUGACAAAAUGACCCACUUCCAGUGGCGAUUUUCUCAUCUGAAUUCCAUGGAUAUCACUGAAUUGACUGGAUUUGAAGAAGUUAUUUGGCCACGACUCUGCAGUUGCCUUUCAAAAGGACUUGAUGCAGGGGAGUCAGUCAGUUCACUGCAGCAGAGCUCAUAUCUCCAGGCCACUGGCCAUUUAAAAAAAAAAUGCACUUAGCAGUGAUCUAUAAAGGUUAUUUAUUGGUCUUAACUUCCCGCAUUUAAUCAAUGAAGUGGCUUCAUUGCUCAUGAGCUGGAAUUUAACUGUUGACACGGCCUGGGCUAGAGAUGGAAGAGUGAUAUUUUGUGUUUUCUUUUCUUGACGUGAAGCACCAGUAAAUCUUCAAGCCUACCUGCCAUAACUGCCCAAAUCUGUUGGAAUGAGUUAUCUGAUAGUGAGAGAGAAAGACAGAGAGCGAGACAGUAGAGAGUCUGAGACGGAGAGACCGACAGAGCGAGAGACAGACAGAUUAAGGGCAUUGGGUCCAGAGAGAAAGCACAAGAGCGAGAGAAUGAAAGAUCGAGAGGGCAAGAGAAAGAAACCAAGCCCUGGAUGAGAGGCAGAAGCAGCCAUGGCAGAUUUCUCCCUUUGUCAUGAGGCAUUUCCCCUAUUCCUCCCAGGACCAUAACUCACUGACAGGCCUCUUUUGUGUUCCUCUGUGGUAAUGACGUGUGGCACUUACGCUGGCUCUGUGAACAGAGACAGUAAGAGUGUGUUUGGUUUUACUGUCCUUGUGGGGUCCAGAAGUCCUUACAAGGACAAUUCUGGCAAGUGGGGACAUUUCACUGGUCCCCACAAGGAAAAGGGCUUAGGGUUAGGGGUUUGGGUUUAGGGUUAGAUUAGGCUUAGGUUAGGGUUAAGUAACAGGAUUUUGAAUGGGAAUCAAUUGUUUGGUCCUCACAAGUAUAAACCAAAUGUGUGUGUCUGACAGCGAUGGGGAGCACCAGAGGGAGGGAGAGACACUGCGCUGUGCUAUGGAAAAGAAACCCCUUACUAUUUCUGAGUGCAGGAUGCUGGGAUCUGACAUCUUGAACAGAUACAUUUUUGGUUAAAACACAUAUCUCUCCACCCCUAUCACCCCCCCACCCCCUUCAUUCUGUACUCUCUCCCCUUCCUCUUGCCCUCUCCUCUUUGCUCUCUCAGUUAGUUGGGGUCUGCUGGUGUUGGGGACCGGGUCCUGGCCCAGCUCCUGACAGAAAGCUCAGAGACGUCGCCGUCCUGGCCACAUCCAACCGGACUGAUAUGAGAGAUAAGAUAGAACGCGCAGAGAGUUCCUGCUCUCCCUUUCUCUCUCUAUCUUUCUGCUUCCCAUCCUUCUCUUCCUUAUCCUCCCUCUAUCUCCAAAAUAAACUUCCUGAGUGCUGAUCAAAGACAGAGCCUGGGCCUGGGCAAAACACACCCAGGAUGAAAUGGCCUGGCGCUUUAAUUUAAGGGUUUUCAUUCUCUGUAUCCUUCCUUUUAAUUUUCCCUCUGUAUUCUUUUCUCAUUUCAUUCUCUCUUUGUAUCCUUCCCUCUUAAUUCUCUGUGUCCUUCCCUCAUCUCCCUCUUUUCUGUCUUUCUCUCUCCCCAUCUAUGUACUAACUCUAUGUGAACAUACUCUGCUUUCUGAAACAUAAUAUUAUGUCUGCUCUUAUCGUAACGUGGAGUGAUUAGGAGGGGGAAAACUGCUGUUAUAGUAGACAUUUUGACUCCUCCAAUAUCUGACAGGUGGCUACAGAGCUCCCAUGGUGGGAAAGACCCUCACACUGCUCCCUUAUGGACAGUUGAACAGCUGGAGGUCCCCUCCAGGGCCACUGUUGGAGAAUUGACACUUCCCUGGCCUUCCUAGCAACUGAAGACCAUUUCCUUCCUUCCUCCUCCCCUGCUACUGCCUGGCCUGCCACUCCAAGCUCUGUUAGCAGUGGGGGGUCGAGCCCCUGGGGUUGGUGGGGGGGCAUGAGAAACCCCAGGCAUCUCCUGCAGCCCCACCAAGCUAACCCUGCUGCUGCUGUCAGGAAGCAGAGGUCCUAGGCAGCUGAGAAAUUAGAGUGGGGUGGCGCUAUUUGAAUGUGAAUCACAUUAGCCGUGAUGGGAAAUACAAGCCGCCAAAUGUAGUUGCAAUUUUUAGGGAACCCCCUCCCUUGGGCUGGCACCCCGCUUCCACUCCCGAACCACCCACUGUUGCACCCCUCCACCACUACCCACAAACUGUCAACACACAGGAGAAGGCGGCCCUUUCCAUGACAAUGGCAUGAUAAUGAUGAGACAAAUGAAGAUUAAUGGGAUGUUUGGGUGUCAAUGAGGCACAUUGUCGGCAGACUGAUGGAGCACAGGGACUUCUGGGUCCUUGUUGGUUUGAUGGACAUAGUGGUAGAGGGAAGGAGAAAGGGAGGGAGGGAAUGACAUGGAGAGACGGGGAGUCUGCGUGUACUUAUGGCAUAGUUUGGGUGGGUCUGCUGUUGGUCUCUCAGCCACUAGUUGAGUCAAGUGUCUACUUUCUACUUAUCUACCUCCUUUAGCCAGCUUUUAGAAUGGGCUCUGCUGUGCAAAGGAAGCGCUCCAUUUGGUCUAUGUGGCAUUUGUUAGGAGAUUAAUUCAAUUACUGCAAAUCUCUUGUGAUGGCAUGGAAUUAUUGACAUCAACACUUGAUUUUUAUUUUCACCAAUAAAAAGUUACUUCAUU